rnacentral:lncRNA from 1 species
GUUAGGGAUAAUUCAGAGCCUCCUUAAAAUUCUCUUUUGCUUUUAACCACAGGCUAACUCAAUUCUUCUUCCCUCUGGCCAGAAUGCAUGCCACUGGAGAAACAAUUUAUUUCCCGAAACCACGCUGCCUUCAGCAAUUUCAAAUAGCUUUAAAUUAUGUCUCUUCCACUGUUUCCAGAAUGCAAAAGGAAAUUUCAUACUUUUAAAAUCUUUCAAGUCCCAUGAGCAAGACAUACCUUCUUGCCUAAAAUUAUUUUACUUCUGAUAAACAGUGAAGAACCAAGAACCUUGGAAAAUUUCCUGUAAGACAUCACAGUUUGAAUCUAUCUACAACAAGAUGAAUCCAAGCUGAAUAUAAAAUGUCUGCUUUCUCCAGCAGGCCCUGAGAGAUACAGUUCAAUAUACAAAAAGUGAAAAUUGCUGUGUGUAUAGUGUGUGUGUGUAUAUAUAUAUGUAUAUAUAUAUAUACAUAUAUAUAUGUAUAUAUAUAUACACACACACAGGCAUACAUAUAUGCCAUAUACAGAAAUUUCUGACAUAGUCAAAAUUGUUACAUUCAGGAUAGCUUUUGUCACAA